GAAUUAUGUACUACGUGGACGUCAGUUUGGACUGUUGGUAUAUAUAUAAUUUUAGAUUUUCCAAGGUAUUUUGGAAGUGGCUGAAUUACUGCGGCUCCCCCAAGCUUCACGAUGAUCAACUUUGUGUAUUAGCUGCCGCAUCAGCACCUGGAUGAUAGGACAGUUUUCAAUUACAAUAAAUUACUUAAUUU